rnacentral:rRNA from 1 species
UACGAGAGGCCCAAACGUUAUUCGGAAUUACUGGGCUUAAAGAGUUCGUAGGCGGCGCAGAAAGUAGGGUGUGAAAGCCCUCGGCUUAACCGAGGAAUUGCGCUCUAAACUACUGUGCUUGAGGAAUCUAGAGGUGAGCGGAACUGAUGGUGGAGCGGUGAAAUGCGUUGAUAUCAUCAGGAACACCGGAGGCGAAGGCGGCUCACUGGGGAUUUUCUGACGCUGAGGAACGAAAGCCAGGGGAGCGAACGGG